rnacentral:rRNA from 1 species
GAUGAACGCUGGCGGCGUGCCUAAUACAUGCAAGUCGAGCGAACGGACGAGAAGCUUGCUUCUCUGAUGUUAGCGGUGGACGGGUGAGUAACACGUGGAUAACCUACCUAUAAGACUGGGAUAACUUCGGGAAACCGGAGCUAAUACCGGAUGAUAUUUUGAACCGCAUGGUUCAAAAGUGAAAGACGGUCUUGCUGUCACUUAUAGAUGGAUCCGCGCUGCAUUAGCUAGUUGGUAAGGUAACGGCUUACCAAGGCAACGAUGCAUAGCCGACCUGAGAGGGUGAUCGGCCACACUGGAACUGAGACACGGUCCAGACUCCUACGGGAGGCAGCAGUAGGGAAUCUUCCGCAAAGGGCGAAAGCCUGACGGAGCAACGCCGCGUGAGUGAUGAAGGUCUUCGGAUCGUAAAACUCUGUUAUUAGGGAAGAACAUAUGUGUAAGUAACUGUGCACAUCUUGACGGUACCUAAUCAGAAAGCCACGGCUAACUACGUG